rnacentral:rRNA from 1 species
AAAGGAAUUGACGGAGGGUCACCACCAGAUAUGGAGCUUGCGGUUCAAUUUGACUCAACGCAGCGAACUCUACCAGGCCAGGACACAGGAAGGAUUGACAGAUUAAGAGCUCUUUCUUGAUUUUGUGGGUAGUGGUGCAUGGCCGCUCUUGGUUCGUGAAGUGAUUUGUCUGGUUCAUUCCGAUAACGGACGAGGCUCUAGCCUGCUAAAUAGACGCUCGGAUCAUUCCUAGUCCGGCGUUUCUUCUUAGAGGGACUGGCGGCGUUUAGCCGCACGAGGCAGAGCAAUAGCAGGUCUGUAAUGCCCUUAGAUGUCCUGGGCCACACGCGUGCUACAUUGAAGGAAUCAUCGUGUGCUUUCCCUUUCCGACAGGAAUGGGUAACCCGUUGAACCUCCUUCGUGCUGGGGAUAGGGGAUUGCAAUUAUCCCCCUUGAACGAGGAAUACCUAGUAAGCGUGAGUCAUCAUCUCGCGUUGAUUAUGUCCCUGGCCCUUGUCCACACCGCCCGUCGCUAUUACCGAUUGAAUGUCUUAGUGAGGACUUCGGAUUGGUUGUCGAUUUGGCUUUAGGGUCGAGCCGACGAGCCGAAAAGAUGUCCGAACUUGGUCAUUUAGAGGAAAUAAAAGUCGUAACAAGG